AACGAACGCUGGCGGCGUGCCUAACACAUGCAAGUCGAGCGCGAAUGGAGCAAUCCUAGUAGAGCGGCGCACGGGUGCGUAACACGUGGGUAAUCUGCCUCAAAGCCCGGGAUAACCUGCCGAAAGGCAAGCUAAUACCGGAUAAGCCUACGGACUCUUCGGGGUCUGAAGGAAAGGUGGCCUCUGUAUACAAGCUAUCACUUUGAGAUGAGCCCGCGGCCCAUCAGCUCGUUGGCGGGGUAACGGCCCACCAAGGCAACGACGGGUAGCU
rnacentral:rRNA from 1 species